rfam:Streptomyces sp. NRRL WC-3618 P435contig4.2, whole genome shotgun sequence.
CGUCGGCGAUCUGCGGGCAGAUCAGAUGGACGUGCGCGUCGAUGGCGCCCGCCGUCACGAUCCGGCCGUUGCCGGCGAUGAUCUCGGUCUCGGGACCGAUGACCAGGUCGGGAUGGAUCCCGUCCAUCGUGUCGGGGUUGCCCGCCUUGCCGAUACCGGUGAUCCGGCCGUCGCGGAUGCCGAUGUCGGCCUUGACGAUCCCCCAGUGGUCGACGAUCACCGCCCCCGUGAUGACCGUGUCCGGGGUGCCGUCCGCGCGCGUGGCGCGCGCCUGGCCCAUGGACUCGCGGAUG